ACACUAAAACAAUUUUUAAAAUUUUUUAAAUAAAAAAAAAUCUUCUCAAAUGAUUCUGUGCACACAGUUUCAUGCUCUGUCUGUGCAGAAGCAGCACUGAAAGAUUACAACAUCUCUAACAAAAAGUUACAAAACCUCAUCAAGAUUUAAUGGCAUUAUCUGUGGCCGAAGUCUUGAAGAUCUCUUUCAACUUGCCAGGACUCUUCCACUCCCAGAAAUUUGACGCAGAGGUAUCACUAGAAUCUUUGCUACCCAGUCAGAUCAUUUUUUCCCCAAGAAGGACUUUGGAAAUAAUGUUUUUAGCUUAUAGGACCCAGCUUUCACCCCUUCCUUCUAAAAGCCCCUGCAGAAGAGAUCACAAAAACUGAUAUCCUGCCCAGAAGAUGCACUGCUGACCUGGCUAGCUGCUCCUGGAAUGCAGUUAGCAAGAAAAUCCUAUUUCAUUUCUGUAAAGGUGAAAGAUCUCGGAUCAUGAAUCCUCUCUGCACUGUGAAUUGUUUUACAAAUGCAUUUGUAUGUAUAAGCAAUGCCUUCCAUUGCAAUGAAUCUUUUGCAUUUUUAAAGGUAAGGUGUAUGUUCUGACACUAUAAAUGGUAGUAAAGGUAUUUCAAAUUAUCUACCAUUUGCUUACUGUAUUAACCAAGAGAGUACAUAAAGGGCAAUAAAGUUAUAUCUUUAUCAGAAAAGCAUACAGUGCUUUGGUAAGCACUGUGCUAUCGCAGCCCUGUUGUCUGUUCAAAGUUUUAUAAUGUUUUCCAAAUAGAACAUAGGUAUAAAAUAACUUUUAUUCAGUCUUCUGAGGGGGGAAUAUUAAGAAUAAUCAUCACAAUGUAAUCCAUCAGGGGUUUUCUCAUUUUGCUUCCUCCCAGGUAUUUUAGAUAGACUUGCCAUUACGAGUCCCAUAAAAGGAUAGGAGUCCAUGGUGUGUAAAUGCAAGUCAAUAGGUAUAAUUUAUUGUGUCAUCAUUUACUAAGCAUUUAACCCUACUCUGGCUCUCAUCCUGCCAAUAAUCCUGUAAGAUAAAUCCUAUUAACCCAUUUUGCAGGUAAGAAAAACAAUGAUUAAUGAGAUUGACUGGCUGGCUCAAGGUUCUACAGUUGGUCAGUGGCAGAUCUAAGGUUUGAACCCAGGUCUAUUUGGUCUCAAGACCCAUGCUUCAUCCACUAAACUAUAUUUCCUUCCUCUUAUAGCAAGUUGUUAGAAGUCUCCAGGAUCUGGAUAUGAGUUAGACUAUAAUAGGGAUGAAACAAAUGAAAAUGAUAAUGAGAACAUUUCUCCUUCACCUUCCUACUUUAGAAAUAUCCACGGAACUUUCCAUCUCCAAAGGCAGUAACUCACAAGAGUGAUGGGAAGAAGCAAACAGACUCUGUGGAAAAUCCAAGCAGUACCCAGGAGAGGUUAGCAGCUGUGGCCUUGACCUGAGUCAGCUUGGGUUUGAGCCCUGGCUCUGCCUGUUCCUAGUUAGUUGUUUGACCCCGUUUAACCUCCUUGAGUCUUAUUUCCCUCUCUGUAAAACAGGAAAAACAUCCUCUUAGGCUUGAAUAAUAUGAAAUGUAUGAUAUACUUAACACAGCACCUAGCAGAUUGUUGCAUGCUCCAUAAAUGCUAUCUAUUUUUUAUUGGAACUUUUGCUGUUAGGUUGCUGUAUAAAAGAUAAAGGCACAUUAUUAGUUUAAAAAAACAACAACUCACAGUUUCUGGUUUAACUGGUUUCUGUUGGCACCUAAUAGCUUUACACAUCUUGAUUUAAGAGAGGCUAAAAAACAAAGAAUGGAUGUCAAUGGAUGUUUCUACUGUCAAGAACAGAUGCUCUUGUUUGGGCUCAGCUAACACUGAAGUCUAGUCGGCAGCCCCACAUAGAACCCAUUUGAUUUCUCCUGCCGGUGUAAGUAGGAAAUUGAUGCUGCUGAGAGUGUGAAAUUUGAGUCUUUAGAAUUUGUAAUUAAUAUGUCAGUCCCUGACAUGCACAUCCUAUCCUUUCUUAUUUCUUAUGUAAGUUUUGGUUCUCAUUCCCACCAUUCCCAAACUCUUACUUAAAAAAAUAAUAAAGUUAUACAUAGGGAUUCCUGAAAAUAAAGUAGCAGCCUGGUUACAUGCAGAGCUGAAAUGAGGACCAUCUCUUGAUAGGUCUCUUGUCCAAGGAAACCUUUUCUAUUAGAUCUUAGUCUUUUCGCUUAUGGCUUUAAUCUAACCAAAAAUGUAGAUGUCCCUCUGGAAAGGUAACACCUUAAAACAUUUACCCAGAAUCCUUUUUGUGAGUAAAAUAUAUUAGAGUAUCUCAUGGAUACUCUGUGGAACACACUUUGGGAAAUGCUGAAUUAGACUCCUUAGUAGCAAAAUAGCAAGAAACAAAAUUGGGACUGGAUAUUUUUCAAUAUUAUAGGUAUUGAAGAAAUACUGAUGAUAAUAAGAAAGUAACUCUUUAUUAAAAUGUGGUUAGUGAGACAUACAUGGAAAAAAGAUGUACCCUUAAACUUUUAGAUCCCAACAUUGUACCUGGACCAGGAAAAGAGAUACCGGGAGCAUCUGAGAACGGAGUCUGCAGCUGUUGCCAGAUGCAGCUUGAAGAAGAGUUCAGGUACAGGAAAAGUUUGCAGGUCUGGGAAGAGUACUAAGUCAGCAGAGGGCUCAAUACCUAACACAGGAAAGACCAUUGUCCUGCAAUAGUGAAGAAUGGACUUCACCAGUUCACCUCAGAGCUGGGACCUGGCUGGAGGGCAUGGCAAAGUGUUGGGUUUCUGUAAUGGAAGGCAGACUUUUUUUUUUUUUUCGUUUUAAUUACCCUGUUAUGUGAUAGAAGUCAUAAGGUAAAAGAAAAGUAUGGAAAGCUGAUUUCUUUAAUAUAUGACCUUCUGAUAGCCUAUAUGUUUUAGGGACAAACUUCCUAAUGAGACUUUUUAUAAUAAAGCUUUCAUUGCUUUGAAAAAUA